GGAUGUGAUGGGGAGCGAAAUUUAGUAGCGAAGUAGCUGAUUUCACACUGUCAAGAAAAGUCUCUAUCGAGGUUAAAGGUACCCGUACCGCAAACCGACACAGGUGGGUGAGGAGAGUAUCCUAAGGCCAGCGAGAGAACUGUUGUUAAGGAACUCGGCAAAAUGACCCCGUAACUUAGGGAUAAGGGGUGCCACCAUCAGGUGGCCGCAGAGAAUAGGCCCAAGCGACUGUUUACCAAAAACAUAGGUUUCUGCUAAGUCGCAAGACGAUGUAUAGGAGCUGACGCCUGCCCGGUGCUGGAAGGUUAAGGGGAUCUGUUAGAGCAAUCGAAGCAGUGAACUUAAGCCCCAGUAAACGGCGGCCGUAACUAUAACGGUCCUAAGGUAGCGAAAUUCCUUGUCGGGUAAGUUCCGACCCGCACGAAAGGCGUAACGAUUUGGGCACUGUCUCAACAACAGACUCGGUGAAAUUGUAAUUCCGGUGAAGAUGCCGGAUACCUGCGACAGGACGGAAAGACCCCAU
rnacentral:rRNA from 1 species